CUCUUUGGUUAUUUUCUGCCUAAGACUCGGGUGGCUGAUGAGGCCUUAAUAUCCCGCCGAGGAGUUAAUUCGGAGUGUACUCUAUGUCUAGGCAGGCAUGGAGUUUUUUUAUGGCAAA
rfam:Lactobacillus harbinensis DSM 16991 NODE_68, whole genome shotgun sequence.